rnacentral:rRNA from 1 species
UACGGAGGGGGCUAGCGUUGUUCGGAAUUACUGGGCGUAAAGCGCACGUAGGCGGCUUUGUAAGUUAGAGGUGAAAGCCCGGGGCUCAACUCCGGAAUUGCCCUUAAGACUGCAUCGCUAGAAUUGUGGAGAGGUAAGUGGAAUUCCGAGUGUAGAGGUGAAAUUCGUAGAUAUUCGGAAGAACACCAGUGGCGAAGGCGACUUACUGGACACAUAUUGACGCUGAGGUGCGAAAGCGUGGGGAGCGAACAGG